UCAAGCGAAUAAGCGCACACGGUGGAUGCCUUGGCGGUCAGAGGCGAUGAAGGACGUGGCAGCCUGCGAAAAGUGUCGGGGAGCUGGCAACAAGCUUUGAUCCGGCAAUGUCCGAAUGGGGAAACCCACUGCUUCGGCAGUAUCCUGCAGUGAAUUCAUAGCUGCUGGAAGCGAACCCGGUGAACUGAAAUAUCUAAGUAACCGGAGGAAAAGAAAUCAACCGAGAUUCCCUAAGUAGUGACGAGCGAACGGGGACUAGCCCUUAAGCUGGUAUGGUUUUAGAAAAACAACCUGGAAAGGUUGGCCAUAGAAGGUGAUAGCCCUGUAUUUAAAAGGGCCAUACCAGUGAAGACGAGUAGGGCGGGGCACGUGAAACCCUGUCUGAACAUGGGGGGACCAUCCUCCAAGGCUAAAUACUCCUGACCGACCGAUAGUGAACCAGUACCGUGAGGGAAAGGCGAAAAGAACCCCGGAGAGGGGAGUGAAAUAGAUCCUGAAACCGUGUGCGUACAAGCAGUAGGAGCUCGUAAGAGUGACUGCGUACCUUUUGUAUAAUGGGUCAGCGACUUACUGUUCGUGGCAAGCUUAACCGUAUAGGGGAGGCGAAGGGAAACCGAGUCUGAUAAGGGCGCAUAGUCGCGGGCAGUAGACCCGAAACCGGGUGAUCUAGUCAUGCCCAGGGUGAAGGUCAGGUAACACUGACUGGAGGCCCGAACCCACUCCCGUUGCAAAGGUAGGGGAUGAGGUGUGAUUAGGAGUGAAAAGCUAAUCGAACCCGGAGAUAGCUGGUUCUCCUCGAAAGCUAUUUAGGUAGCGCCUCAUAUGUAUCCUCUCGGGGGUAGAGCACUGUUAUGGCUAGGGGGUCAUCGCGACUUACCAAACCAUUGCAAACUCCGAAUACCGAGACGGACUGUAUGGGAGACACACGGCGGGUGCUAACGUCCGUCGUGAAAAGGGAAACAACCCAGACCCACAGCUAAGGUCCCAAAUUCACUGCUAAGUGGAAAACGAUGUGGAAAGGCAUAGACAGCCAGGAGGUUGGCUUAGAAGCAGCCACCCUUUAAAGAAAGCGUAAUAGCUCACUGGUCGAGUCGGUCUGCGCGGAAGAUUUAACGGGGCUAAGCAGUGAACCGAAGCUUGGGGUGCAUCGCGUUAAGCGAUGCGCGGUAGAGGAGCGUUCCGUAAGCCUGCGAAGGUGGAUUGAGAAGUCUGCUGGAGGUAUCGGAAGUGCGAAUGCUGACAUGAGUAACGAUAAUGCGGGUGAAAAACCCGCACGCCGAAAGCCCAAGGUUUCCUUGCGCAACGUUAAUCGGCGCAGGGUGAGUCGGCCCCUAAGGCGAGGGCGAAAGCCGUAGUCGAUGGGAAGCAGGUUAAUAUUCCUGCACCUCGCGUAAGUGCGAUGGAGGGACGGAGAAGGUUAGGUGUACCGGGCGUUGGUUGUCCCGGGGAAAGGCGGUAGGUUUGGAUCCUUGGCAAAUCCGGGGUCCUUUAAGACCGAGCACCGAGACGAGUCUUUGAGACGAAGUCACUGAUACCACGCUUCCAGGAAAAGCUCCUAAGCUUCAGCUUACGCAGACCGUACCGUAAACCGACACAGGUGGGUAGGAUGAGAAUUCUCAGGCGCUUGAGAGAACUCGGGUGAAGGAACUAGGCAACAUGGCACCGUAACUUCGGGAGAAGGUGCACCCUUUUUGGUGGCUCGUGCGAGCUAUAGCUGAAGAGGGUCGCAGAAACCAGGCCGCUGCGACUGUUUAUCAAAAACACAGCACUCUGCAAACACGAAAGUGGACGUAUAGGGUGUGACGCCUGCCCGGUGCUGGAAGGUUAAUUGAUGGGGUCAGCCGCAAGGCGAAGCUCUUGAUCGAAGCCCCAGUAAACGGCGGCCGUAACUAUAACGGUCCUAAGGUAGCGAAAUUCCUUGUCGGGUAAGUUCCGACCUGCACGAAUGGCGUAACGACAGCGGCGCUGUCUCCACCCGAGACUCAGUGAAAUUGAAAUCGCUGUGAAGAUGCAGCGUUCCCGUGGCAAGACGGAAAGACCCCGUGAACCUUUACUAUAGCUUUACACUGAACGUUGAGUUCGUCUGUGUAGGAUAGGUGGGAGGCUAUGAAACCAUGGCGCUAGCUGUGGUGGAGCCAUCCUUGAAAUACCACCCUGUCGUGCUUGACGUUCUAACCUAGGUCCGUAAUCCGGAUCGGGGACCGUGUAUGGUGGGUAGUUUGACUGGGGCGGUCUCCUCCUAAAGAGUAACGGAGGAGCACGAAGGUACGCUCAGCGCGGUCGGACAUCGCGCACUGUGUGCAAAGGCAUAAGCGUGCUUGACUGCAAGAUCGACGGAUCAAGCAGGUACGAAAGUAGGUCUUAGUGAUCCGGUGGUUCUGUAUGGAAGGGCCAUCGCUCAACGGAUAAAAGGUACUCCGGGGAUAACAGGCUGAUACCGCCCAAGAGUUCAUAUCGACGGCGGUGUUUGGCACCUCGAUGUCGGCUCAUCACAUCCUGGGGCUGUAGUCGGUCCCAAGGGUAUGGCUGUUCGCCAUUUAAAGUGGUACGCGAGCUGGGUUCAGAACGUCGUGAGACAGUUCGGUCCCUAUCUGCCAUGGGCGUUGGAGAUUUGAGAGGGGCUGCUCCUAGUACGAGAGGACCGGAGUGGACGAACCUCUGGUGUUCCGGUUGUCACGCCAGUGGCAUUGCCGGGUAGCUAUGUUCGGAAGCGAUAACCGCUGAAAGCAUCUAAGCGGGAAGCGCGCCUCAAGAUGAGAUCUCCCGGGACACAAGUCCCCUAAAGGAACCAUGUAGACUACGUGGUUGAUAGGUCAGGUGUGUAAGUGCAGCAAUGCAUUGAGCUAACUGAUACUAAUGAUCCGUGCGGCUUGACCAU
rnacentral:rRNA from 1 species